GUGUGCAAAAUCAGAGAGGGGUGCAAGAUCCUGAUUUUUCAGGAGUUCAAGCGACAAUGGCAGCCCAAUACGGCAGUGUGAGCUUCAACCCCAGCACACCAGGGGCCAGUUAUGGUGAGAGGGCAUUCAGUGCUCCCCAGACCAGGGCUGCAGGGAGGUUAGCAGGGCCUGGAAGGCAAGAGCCCAGAAAUUCCCAAUUGAGAAUUGUGUUAGUGGGUAAAACCGGAGCAGGAAAAAGUGCAACAGGAAACAGCAUCCUUGGCCGGAAAGUGUUUCAUUCUGGCACUGCAGCAAAAUCCAUUACCAAGAAGUGUGAGAAACGCAGCAGCUCAUGGAAGGAAACAGAACUUGUCGUAGUUGACACACCAGGCAUUUUCGACACAGAGGUGCCCAAUGCUGAAACGUCCAAGGAGAUUAUUCGCUGCAUUCUUCUGACCUCCCCAGGGCCUCAUGCUCUGCUUCUGGUGGUUCCACUGGGCCGUUACACUGAGGAAGAGCACAAAGCCACAGAGAAGAUCCUGAAAAUGUUUGGAGAGAGGGCUAGAAGUUUCAUGAUUCUCAUAUUCACCC
rnacentral:sRNA from 1 species